GGGGAUGUAGCUCAGUUGGGAGAGCGCCUCCCUUGCACGGAGGAGGCCAGGGGUUCGAAUCCCCUCAUCUCCA
rnacentral:tRNA from 1 species